rnacentral:lncRNA from 1 species
UGUGUAGUGUGGAAGUGCACAUGAUGCUUGCCAUGUGCAGUGUGGAGUGUACAUGAGCUGAGUUGAGGUUGGCAGGAGUAUGUGCAGAGCCAUUAUAACUAGUGUGGGGAUGACCUUGGUGUAUGGUUGCAUUAUCUAUAUAUUUAUAUAUACAUAAUGUAUACGUGAAUUUUUACACGCAUAUGCACUUGUCCUAUAGAGUAGAG